CCGGAUGCAGAUACCGGCAGGUCUGUCACAAAGCAAGAAGUGGCCCUGGGGUUUGUCAUUUUGGGGACAGUCUUGUGAACUUGUGAUCUAUGGACGGGGAAAAUAGCAGCGUGGAUUUCAGGCAUUCUGCAAGUGGUUUUUCUCCUGCUGAGAGGCACGAUGUGGGGACAGGAGGAAGGAAGGGAUGGGGAAGAAGGAAGCCUGCAAGUGUCCGGAGGUGGGAUGGAUGUACAUCAAAAAUCAGCCCUCAUCAGGAAACCCGAUGUGAGGAACUGGAAGUUGAAUCUGAAAUGGUGAUAAUGCAGCCUGGGUCCUGGUGGGAUG
rnacentral:lncRNA from 7 species